rnacentral:rRNA from 1 species
CGGGGGUAGGGAGGUAAUGUCUGGGAAACGUGCCUAGUGGAGGGGGAUAACUACUGGAAACGGUAGCUAAUACCGCAUAACGUCGCAAGACCAAAGAGGGGGACCUUCGGGCCUCUUGCCAUCGGAUGUGCCCAGAUGGGAUUAGCUAGUAGGUGGGGUAACGGCUCACCUAGGCGACGAUCCCUAGCUGGUCUGAGAGGAUGACCAGCCACACUGGAACUGAGACACGGUCCAG